GGAAGGUGGGGAGUGACGUCAAAUCAUCAUGCCCCUUAUGACCUGGGCUACAAACGUGAUACAAUGGCUGGAACAAAGAGAUGCGAAGCAGUGAUGUGGAGCGAAACCCAAUAAAAACAGUCUCAGUUCGGAUUGAAGUCUGCAACUCGACUUCAUGAAGUCGGAAUCGCUAGUAAUCGCGGAUCAGAACGCCGCGGUGAAUACGUUCUCGGGGCUU
rnacentral:rRNA from 1 species